rnacentral:misc_RNA from 1 species
UUACCAAUAUAGCCUUUGGAUCAAUUGUAUUUUCAUUAAAUAAAGUAUUCGCAUAAUCUGCUGGCUCAAUUUAAAGCUCUAAAAUUUUUUUCAAAAUGUCUGCCACAUGUGCUGGAAUUUUACGCGAAACAUUUCCCCAAAUCGACGAGGAAAUGUUCAGUUAUAUAAACGGAAUUUUGGAAUCAAGCAGCGAUGAUUUUGUCGAUGCGUCGGAUGUGUUUGAUGCUGUGGGUGAUCUAUUCCUGGAAAUCUCAGAAAGUGAACCAAAUGUCAUCCAAGAACUUUGUGAGCAGUUGAUCGGAGUUUUGAAAAUAAAUUCCCAGAAUAGUACAAGUGAACCUACAAAGCUUCAUACUCCGGUUCAGUUAAAGGACAUUGUAGAAAACAAUGAUGAAACUGUGGAAGAGAAUGCUAGUAUUUGGCUUAUAAAGAAAGAUGAAUUGAGGGAGACAGUGGAUUCAAAGAAGCUUGAAAAAGCUGAGGCAAAGAUUAAAGCAAAACAAGAUAAAAGAAUAUUGAAAGAAAACUCAACUGGUCCACCUCAAACAAGAAGUUUAACAGACAAUGCAUCAGUGAGUCACACAACAAACAGACGAGAUGUGCAUUUGGAAAAAGUUGGUUAUUCUCAAGAUAUCCAUCUGGAGAAUAUUGAUCUAGCAUUUGGAGAAAGAGUGUUAUUAACUGGGGCCAACUUGAUGUUAAAUUUUGGACAUCGCUAUGGUUUGAUAGGUCGAAAUGGAGUUGGAAAGACCACAUUGCUGCGCUCGUUAUCAAGGAGGGAGGUACAUGUCUCAUCUCAAUUGUCAAUACUUCAUGUUGAACAAGAGGUUGUGGGAGAUGAGACACCAGCUCUGGAAAGUGUCUUAGAAUGUGAUGUAAGGAGGACCAAUUUAAUCAAAGAGGAAAAAUCUCUUACAGCAAAACUUCAGUUGGACAGCCAUUCACAAGAUAAUACAAGUCAUGAAAGCCGUCUGGCUGAGGUCUAUGCAGAAAUGGAGGAAAUUGAAGCAGACAAAGCCCCUGCAAGAGCAUCAGUGAUUCUAGCUGGCCUUGGUUUUUCACCCAAAAUGCAAGGACAGCACACACGGGAAUUCUCUGGUGGAUGGCGAAUGAGACUAGCCUUGGCAAGAGCUUUGUUUUCAAAGCCUGAUUUGUUACUCCUUGACGAACCUACAAACAUGUUGGAUUUGAACGCAAUUAUUUGGUUGGAAAAUUAUUUACAGAAAUGGCCGUCAACUCUAUUGGUUGUUUCUCACGAUAGAAAUUUCCUGGAUUCCGUGUGCUCUGACAUCAUUCAUAUGCAUUCCAGCAAAUUGGACAGCUACAAAGGAAAUUAUGAGACGUUUUUCAAAACGAAAACAGAAAAAUUGAAGAAUCAGCAGCGAGAGUACGAAGCCCAACAACAGUACAGAGAACAUUUACAGGCAUUUAUCAAUAGGUUUCGUUACAACGCCAACAGAGCUGCACUGGUUCAGAGCAAAAUCAAAAUAUUGGAAAAACUUCCAAAGCUAAACGCGGUUGAGAAGGAAACAGAAGUUGUUCUAAGGUUUCCUGAUUGUGAAGAUCUGUCGCCACCCAUCCUUCAGCUUGACGAGAUUUCGUUUCACUACACGAAAGAUAGAGUUAUAUUUGAGAAAGUCUGUAUGUCGGCGACCAUGCAAUCUAGAAUAGCAGUGGUGGGAGAAAACGGUGCUGGUAAAACAACGUUGUUAAAAAUUCUGCUUGGAGAACUGGAACCAGUAACGGGACUUCGACAUGUUCACAGGAACUUGAAAAUGGGUUAUUUUAGCCAACAUCAUGUCGACCAACUAAGCAUGAAUACGAAUUCAGUUCAGUUAUUACAGUCGAGGUUCCCAGGUAAACAAGAAGAAGAGUAUCGCAGACAACUUGGAUCCUUUGGUGUUUCUGGUGAACUAGCAUUACGACCUAUUGACAGUCUGUCUGGUGGACAAAAAAGUCGUGUCGCAUUUGCUAUCCUUGGCAUGUUAAGACCGAACUUUCUUAUACUCGACGAACCCACAAAUCACUUGGAUAUGGAAACGAUUGAAGCCUUAGGGAAAUCAUUGUUGAAAUUCCAGGGUGGUGUGAUAUUGGUAUCCCACGACGAAAGACUGGUACGAACUGUUUGCAAUGAGAUUUGGAUCUGUGGUCAGAAAAAUAUACGUUCAAUAGAAGGUGGCUUCUCAGAAUAUAGGCGAAUUUUAGAGGAUGAAUUCAAAAGAUUAUGAAAUUAGAUAAGUACAUAACAAAUUUCAAGAAUAUUAUAUCAAUUCGCUCCCACUGGUGACACAGCCAUUUUUAAUUUAAUAAUUCCAGCAAUUGAACAUUUGAAUGUUUAAUUCCUGCUACGGUUUUUUCAGUAACAAAUCCGGAUCAAUAUAAUUUGGCGGUGCUUCUCAUAUAAUGGAGGUUUUAAAAGAUGAUUUGACCAAGAAGAUUUCUUGGACAAAUAUCUUAAUCUGCCGCAUGCAUGCAUGUGAUUGAGUGGGUGCAACUGCAACACACACUGCAAAAAGAUUCCUCAUGUAAAGCGAACUAUUAAAACACAUCGCAUGAAAGCGCAUUGAGUGAUGAAGAUUUUGACGAUAAAUUUUUGCCAAAUACUACGGAAUUUAUAAGCCCUUGUUUGUUUUCGACGCAACGCUCGUUUGUCAAAAUUUCUUUUAAAAUCCCAUCCGUCUUUCUAAAUAGAAAAGCCAGGGCUUAUCAGUUAUCCAAAUACAACAUGCUGUUUGACGUAUGCCGGCCUACGUGUUUGCAUUUGACUCAAAACUUCAAAAUCGCCCUAUUUAUAUUUUGCAUUUCAAAGGAGGCGUGCGUUCUGUGAACGCAAUCUCUGUGACUGAGUUCAAAACAGCUUGAUAAUGCUGUUCUCAGAGCACAAUUAGGUUUUAAUUUCAGCAAGUUGCCUAGAACAGGAUAGAUAAAUUAACAUACACCGAAUGAAUCUCAUUUUUAUACCUUGUUGAUUCAAAUAUAAUUGCCAUGGAAUGCUGGCAUAACAUGACCGCUCAAUUCUAUCCGGAUUUUCUCUGAAUUUAACCAUUUUGAGAGGUAUAGUUCACAUCUGUGUAGGACAAUAGAGGUUAAUAUUUAGCCUACAGUUUUGGCCAUCUUGUCAAUUACCGGUCCAUUCAUUUGCACCGCAACCGAACAGCCUCACCGUCGCACAAUUAUUGCAUCAGAUGAGAUGGAACUGCCGGUGAUCUUUCAUGACUUGUAUUUACCUAAAUAGGUAUAAAUAGAAGGGGUUUUUCUUACAUUUGACCGAUGAUACCUGAUGGUUUUCGUCCAUCAAAAUGAAGAAAAAAACAGCUUUAGUUGGCCAAUAUAUUUUGCCCCCAUGUUUUGAGAUGCACGCGCAAACAAGUGAAAAACUAUAAACAUUCGACGUUGAGAAUAUUGAUAUUCAUAUAGUUUUAGCGUAUAAUUAGCAUGUCAUAUUUCAGUUUCAUUGGCUUACCACGCGGGUUCGACUCAAACAGAAUAAUUUAGGGCCUGAACCGUCGUUUUGACAACCAAGAUAUUAUUAAUUUUUUUGUGCCUUAACACUUUAACAUAAAUCAAGUUCAGAUGUAGGGAUGUCUUUCAAGAAGAUUUCUCUUCGAUGUCGUAUAUGUUUCGAUGUUUUUGUGAACAAGAAUAUACUAGUUCAAUGUAAUCUCGUUUGAAUUUUGUGCCGUGCGGCGUGUGUUUUCGACGGGUUCAGCAGUAACAUCGACGCGGUUGCUAACUUGCUCAUUGUGAUUGUGUGAUGCUAAAUUGAAAUGGGGACAGCCUGUUCAGUUGAUGCAAAAAACACCUCGACUCGCAUGAAAGAUGAAAAUGGACGAACAAAGGAAGACCUCAACAGGCCGAAAAGCAUUUCAAGUUCAAUUGUUUAUAAUACGCUGUGGAAUCCAUUCCGAAUCACGAGAGACGAAGCAGAAAAUCUUCUUCAAGGUUCUUACGCUGGGGCUUUCAUUUUUUCCUACAGCAUCA